CACCUCCUUUCCCAGCCCCUGCCCCAGAUCCCCUUAGACCCACAGGAAACCAGAACCCACACAGCUCAGGGACCCGGGGACGUGUUAGCUCAGGAGAGAGUGUGGGGUCCCUGGGGGGUUGUGUGGGGACCCUGGAGGAUGAGAGAGCCCUGGGGUGGGGCUCCAGGAGUGUGUGAGAGCCCCCACAAACAAAGCAGGUGCUUGCCCGUCCCUGGCGCAGCGAGGGCUCAAGAAACAACUGCUGUCAUCAUUAGCUGUCACUGUCUUUCAUUAAAGAAAACAGAAAUCAGACACCAGGACUUGCUUUGCAGGGUAAGUGAUGCUGCCACAUACACGUCGGCCCUGGCCUGGCGGGGGGCGGGGGGUUCAGAGUGGCGUCCAAGGAGUCCAGCCCCGGGGCCUCCUCUGAGGUAGACGGGCCGCGCUCCCUCCUCCUGAAGGUCAGGCCAUCAGGGACGGCCACACACUGACUCCUGCCCCUCUCCUCUGUCUUUCCAGUUCUGGGGUGCCUGCCGUGUGCUGGGGACCUCUCUGGGGUGUGCACCUCUAGCUGGAUGCAGGGCCCUUCCCCUUGCGCUUUCCCAGGGGCAGGGGACUGGCUCCCUCCAGCCUCUCCUCGGCCCCUCCCCUCAUCUUCCUCGUGGCUCUGCAGGUCCCGUGCUCCCCAGAAAAGCAGACAGGGUGACUUCUGCUAUUGCCACAGGAACCAGACGUCCCACCUUCACAAAAGAGGAGAGGCGGCUGCGAAGGACUAGGCCGUGGCCAUGGUGGGCAGGGCACCCCCGGAACAGUGUGGGACCCCAUCCGGGCUGGACGCUCAAGGAUGGUGGGAAGACAGGGACCCAAAGCACAAGUCCACAGAGACCAUGCGAGAGCCGUCAGGAAGAAGAGACGCUAAGGAGGCCCUGGGGCAGGGGUGGAGGGGAGGCAGGGAGGCCAGAGCACAGAGAGAGCCCCAGAGCCGUACAGAGCCCGGGUUCCAGGGAAGGAGGAGCCGCAAGGGCAGGGGCUUGCCAGAUAAAAUACAGAAGACCCAGCUGAAUCUGAAUUUCAAACAAUGAUAUGUCCCCAGACUGCAUGGGAAGUCCUUGAACUAAAAAGUUAUUCCUUAUGAAUGUGAAAUUUGGUCUGAAGAAGGAUGGGUGUCCCUGGUGGUCAGAUGUUGAUGAAUCUGGCCGCCUAGCCAGCGGUGACCGCCUGGCUGAGGGCAGGCCCCCAGCCCACAUCCCGCCCCUGAUCGCGGGUCCUGGACCUAACUCUGGGGACAGAGGCCGGGUUCCAGGUGUCUCUCAGCAGACCUGGUGGGCCAGCUGUGACUCCAGGCACACUCAUGAGCCACCCUCGAAAUCAAGGCGGGGAGAGACUGGAUGAGGAGCUGCUGGACCUCGAUACUCAGAGAAGAACCAAUGGGCCUUCAAUUUCCAUACAAUAACUGUCUUAUUCAAUCUAGAUUUAAUGUGCUUUUGGAAUACUUAAUUUAAAGUGUUACUGCACCACCAUCUGCUCCACUCUGCGGACGAACACAGGGAGCAUAUGACUCAGAGCCUCGUCAGGAACCAACGUGCAGGACUGAUGUACAGCUGUCUCUCCUGGGGCGGCCUCUCCUUCCACCCAGGGCUGGAGGUGGCCCAGGCCCAGAGCCGCAGAGAGGCCUGGUGGGGGGGAGGGACGGAGGGACGGAGGGGUGUCACAGGCUGGGCCCUCGAGGCCUCAGGAGUAUCCGCGCCCCAUUGGGGCUGAGGUUCUGGGCCCAUCUUUGGCUCAGACUCUGCCUCUGCUCUCGCAGCUGCUCUGGGACACCUCAGCAGGAAGCCUUUCCCGACCCCUGACCACUGCCCAAAGUGCCCACUGACCCUGCCUCCCUUCCUUCUUCCCCCUCCCUCCCUCCCAUAUG
ensembl:lncRNA